ACUCUGGAGGUGGAGGUUGCAGUGAGCUGAGAUCAUGCCACUGCACUCCAGCCUGGGUGACAGAGUGAGACUAUGUCUCAAAAAAAGAAAGAAAGAAAGAAAGAAAAAUUUGAAGUAUAGAGGGGAAUCACAAAAAUUCUAAAUGGUAGCUCAUGUCAGGAACCUGAAAGUCAAGUCUUCACUUCAGCAUUGGGAAGUAUAUGAAACUGUUUUCGGACCACACAACUCUGUGAGCUCAUCGCUAAGAAUUGGUAUGCAAGGUCUUCAGAAGGGUAGGCAAUUUGUAAACUCCUUUUGACUUAGCUGGUAAGACAGAAAGUUCUUUUUUCAUGGCUAAAUGAUACUUGAGAAAAGAAAAAAUGUGGUGAAGCUGAAUGUAUCUAGUUGAAAUAAAAAUGCCUACCUUUCUCCUGCAUAGGCAAAAUAUACUACUUACAAGAAAAAAAGGAAUUUAUGAAUAGAAAUAGAAUCAGGUCACAGUGCAUUUCCUAAUUCUCCACUGGAUUUUAUUACUCAAGCACUGUAUUUUUACCUUUUAUCAUAGCUGUCAUUCGUCCUUGUACUUUAGAUAGCAGCUUAUCAACCCUUGUUAUAUCCUUACCUUCUUUAGGGUGAUGAUCUUAUCUUUAUUUUUGACCACACUUCCUGUGCCUGCCCCUUUUCUUACAUCAAUUUCUGUUCCACUUGGGAUUUUGUACUCACAGAUGUGACAUGAAUAUUUAUGAGAUUAAAGUGAAUGGUCCAACAUCAAUUCAGAAAAAUUUUGAUCCAUUCGUCCAAAUUAUUUAAAAUAUUCCCUUUCUAAUUGAGGCAGCAAGGCCUCUAGCUUAGUGCUCAUUUUCCCUCUCUAAGCAUAUUCAUGCCAUUAGGGUAUUAAUUUCUUCUAAACUAAAGCUCUUAUCUCCUCAUAAUUCAUUAUGUCUGUUUUUGAUUCGCACUAUCAUUGUGGUCUCUCAACUUACUCCCGUUAACACAGUCAUUUUGGUGGCUUUUAUAAUACCUCCUCUGUUGUUCUUCAAAUUUUGCCUAAAUAGGCAAUAACUUAAAUGAAAAAGUGUUCAUGAGUGAGCCAGUGAGCUCAGAAAUUUGGAACCUUUUUGCCAUGGAGGGUGAUGGUGAGCUUAGUGAUAACAAGAAUUUCCCAAUUAUGGCAUCUACCUUUCUAAUCAUCUCUCCUUCCAUGUGAUACUGUUUUUAUAUAGUUUGUUUUGCCUGCCUCCCUCCCUUCCCAUCUCUCUUCUUUCCUCCCUUCCUUCUCUCCUUUCCUUCCACUCUUCUUUCCUUUAUGGGAAAAACCAUUCUAAAUCCUUCAAAUUGUGGUUUGAGUUUACAGUCUUUUAUUGAAAUUACAUGUUGGUAUGCUAGGAGUAUAUGAAAGCUUUUUUUCCAAUUUGCAAAGAAUGUUUAUAUGAUUUUAUUAUUUUUAUAUGAUUUUUGUAUUAAAAUCAUCCCAGAUAUCCCCAAAAUAGAAUGCAAAGUUUACAUUUUAAAUUUACUUUGAAAUUUUAAAUAAAUUUUCUUCUAAGUUGUCUUUGGAUUACAUAUCCAGACAGAUUGGAGGCAUCAAAAUACUUCCCACUCCUUUUUCAAUGUUGUUAGGGAUAUUGCUAUGACAUUUUUGAGAAGUAUUCGAAACAACUCUAUUAAGAUAAGCUCCUUUUCUUUAUUGUCUUCAUCUUAUAUCUCUGGCUGUCAAUGAAAUUCUAUCAUUUCCCACUCAAAGCCCAAUUGAUCUCUGGAAGGAGGUGGGGUGUGCCCUUGUAUGAGCUCUUAAGAAUUUAUUUAGCAUUUUUUUCUAGCUCUUCCAUCAGUGAAAUCAAGAUGGUAGCUGAAAUUUACCACGGUGGAGGAUAUUUACAUCACAGAAAUUGGCAAAGGCUACAAAUAAGUUUAAUUUUUUUUUUUUUAGAACUCGUUAAGUAUGUACCAGCACACCCUGUAAGGUUGAUUGAUGCUUGAUCUAGGUGUCUUCCGUAUGCUUUGUGUGUUACUCCUGUGGCUUUACCAGCUAUUAUGCAUUAGUCUCUGGGGAUAAGGGAAGUAAUAAACCUUUGUCCCAGGUCUCAUAAAUAGCUUGGUUAUUAAUCAAAUGAUCAUUUGGUCUGGCUUCCUUUGUUCGGUCCUAUGCUUGUAAGUAUGGAUGUGUUAGCUCUAGACAGAACCAUAGAUAAGGGAGCUAAAGCCCAGAGUGAUUAAUGACUUACAAGGUCACAAUUCUAGUUAGAGGGAAAGAUGCUGGGACAAGAAUCUGGGUUUUCUGAGUCCCAGGUAGGUUUUGUUGCUGUUAUACAACUCUCUAAUAAUUUUCAAAAAAUCCUAAAUCAUAAAUAUUCCAUUGUAAUAAGCUUCAGAAAGCAUUGCAAGCCACAGAUUUAGCUCUAAUACUAUUAAUCUUUGCUUUUUUUCUAAUCUAAAAACUAGGAUACAUUAAGAAAAGUAGAAAAUGUAAAAAUAUUGGUAAAAAACCAAAACUCCUAACAAAUUAAUAUAUAUAUGUUAAGAGAGACAUACGUUUAAACAAUUUACUAUCAUCUGUCAACUUUUAAAGGAAUGCCUGGAUGUAGCUCUUAUGACUUUCAAUCGAAGUGACACAAUUUUUCCAGUAAUUUUAACUGUUUCUCCCAGCUUGCUUGUUAAAGAAAUCUGUAACAUCUUUAGCAAGAAACAGAAAGACAGAGGGCAGCAUGGGACCAGAGUGCAGCUGUCCUUCAGAAGAACCUGACUGUACAACUUGCACAUCUGAAGAGGUAGCCAAGAAAAUAGAGAAAAGAAUGGGAAGUGGAUCUACCCACAUCCUCUCCCAUCCCCUCCAGAAAGAAAUGCAGCAUCUCUUUCUCAUUGUUUAAGAAGAAAAGGGGGAUCUCGGAGACAAAGCCAAUGAAGAAUAAAUGAGUGCUCUGCCAGUUCAAAGUCAAUGUGAAGAUUGGAUGGGGAAGCGUGCGGAGCUCAGAAGGUGAAGCAGCAGCAGCAGCAGCAGCAGCAGUCACCUACCUAGGCUGCAGCUAUCAGCAAGGCCAGCCCAGAGAAAGAAAGGCAACAAUAGACCAACAAAGAUGCCAUAGGCCACGCCUUCCUGCUUUAUCCUCCUCCUGUAUCCCUUCAUUCUUCUUCUCCUCUUUCCUCCCCUCCCAAACUCCUUCCUUCCCUCAUUCCUCCACUUUCAUCUCUUUGCUAUUUCUAGAAAGAAUCUUUUGUCUUGCUAGGCAGAGCAUUUAUAACAAAGGAAAGACAGGAGGUGUAGAUGAUGAAGCAGAGUAGAGCACUUUUAACUGCAAGAGUGUUAGGAUAUGAACACUGCUGUUAGGAUAGAAAAGAGAAAAUCCUCAGAGUUGUGGACUCUCCAUGGGAAGUGUCAAUGUUACUUGUUUUUAUAUCCUCCGGAUUUUUUUUUUCCAGAGCAAGAGAAAAUCCAGUGACUGAAAAAGAAUAAGAAGAAAAACACUGACCAAGGCAAUAAUUCCAAGAAGUCAAAAAUUAAGGCCUGAGAGGAAGAAGGCAGACUAAAGAAAGUAGGUAAGACAGUGACCUGAACGAAAGUGCUGGCUCCAUGCUCUGUGACGUUGGGCGUCCUCACUGACCUCGGAAGCAUGGUCUUGGUGACACUGGUCAGGUGCAUGAAGUGUUAGAAAAUUUUAUUAAAGAUUCCAUGGUUGCAUCUCUAAAGAUGCAAGGAGAAAGACAGCCAUCUGCAUACCAGGAAGAGGGCCCUCACCAGACACUGGAUCUGCUGCAUCCUUGAUCUUGGGCUUCCAACCUCUAGAACCAUGUGAAAUACAUUUCUGUUGUUUAAACCAC
rnacentral:lncRNA from 1 species